ACUAAACUGGGUGUGAGCAUGGCCAAUGUGUGAUGCCUGCAGGCUGGGAGUUUGACACACCUAUUGUAAGGCUUAUUUGCAAGGGAUAAGGUGUCUGUCCUGAAAAUGAACCCACCAACCUAAUAAGUUCUGACCAAUAAGGUCAUUCCUUGAAGCAGGACUCAGCAUUAAGAACAUCCACAAUUGUUGCCAACACUUUCAGCAUCCUAAUAAGUUGACACUCCUGUUUCAGAAGGUUAGAUCAGGAUAUCCUGGACAGAAAGAGGAGGAGACGAGCACAGAAUUCCCUGUCUCCUUGCCCUAACAAUACGUACUUCCAAUUGCAUCAAGAACCUUUACCUUAUCUUUGCUCCCUGCUGUUGAAUGAUAUUUAAUGAGAGAGGGGAAAGUAAGGACAGGAUCAUAAUGCCUUUGAACUAUGUACAGUACAAUAAACUUCAUCAAGAGGA